rnacentral:lncRNA from 1 species
CGUUGUCGGUUAUUUUGGCAGAGCUUCGCCGUAAAAAUUGUCUCUCCCUCUCCUCUAGGUCGUGCCCCCAAUAUAUAUGUAGAAGAGUUUAGGGUUCAGAUCAUUCAAAAUUACUAAAAUACCCUUUUUAGGGUUUUGGCUUAAAACGUGGGCUUUACAUUUAAGGUUUUAAAAUUUGCUGGGUUUGGGCUGUGACAAUUCUCCCACACUUAAAAAUAAUCCGUCCUUGAAUUUCACUGCUGGGCCAGGUAUUCGCUCUUGUUCGUAAAGAGAUUCGGUUAAUCGACCUUUAACCGGUUACUCAAAUACUAAGUCAUCUUUUGAACUUCAUCUCUUUGCCAACAAGAUGAAUUUUCGAAAUACUCUUUCCUUUUCCUUUAGUUCCUUUACAGUGCAAGAUUUCUCUAGGUACUGCUGGAAUAUUUAGUUCAGGUUCUUUACCACCUUGCACAAUACUGAAAUGUGAAAGACAUUGUGAAAAUCUGCCAACUCCUGGGGUAAGUCCAACCGAUAUGCUACAGCCCCGAUCCUUUCAGUUAUGACUUCUGGUCCCAAGUACCGCGGUCUGAUUUUCUUCAACUUCCUCAGAUCAUUAGUCCCUCUAAACGUUCUCAUUUUCAAGUGUACUGCAUCUCCAACUUCAAACUCCAAAUCUUUUCUUCUUUUGUCUGCAUAACGUUUUUGGCGCUCAUGAGCUUCUUUAAGCUCUCCACACACUGCCCAGACCAUUCAAAUUUUAUUUCCUUUCCUCUAUGGCACUUUUAGGCGUAUGUCAAUUACUGACUGAUGUUACCUUUACAGGAUCCACAACCACUCCUUCUGAAAC